UACGGAGGGUGCAAGCGUUAAUCGGAAUUACUGGGCGUAAAGCGCGCGUAGGUGGUUUGUUAAGUUGAAUGUGAAACCCCCGGGCUCAACCUGGGAAUUGCACCUGAUACUGCUGAGCUAGAGUACAGUAGAGGGGAGUGGAAUUUCCUGUGUAGCGGUGAAAUGCGUAGAUAUAGGAAGGAACACCAGUGGCGAAGGCGACUCUCUGGACUGAUACUGACACUGAGGUGCGAAAGCGUGGGGAGCAAACAGG
rnacentral:rRNA from 1 species